UUUGCAUUUUGCAAGUUUCUUUCGGUAGAACCUACAGAAACCCCACCUCCUAGUGUCGUUUUAGUCGUGGCAGCCUCGUCAGACAUUUAGAACAAUGGUGUGCCCCUUUUGGGGCCGCAUUUAGUCAGGGUUGACGACUAGUGCUUUAGGGAGUUCUUGCGAUUUCCCCCACACCCUUCACUUUGCCGCUUCUGCCUUUCAGCCUUUCCCCCGUUUCCCCUUUUGGUGCAGCCGCCUCGCCCCGCUCCCCUCGGGGGCGGCCCCUGUUGGGCUCCGCCAUCUUGGGAGGCCUUUCUUGCCGGUUCGCCACCGCACGUUCCUCUCGGCAAAGAAAGGUCGCUUGGGAGGCUCGUACGAAUUCAUUUAGGCCCAGAGAGAUGAAGUGACUAAUUCAAGGUCAUACAGUAUGGAGGAUGGAUUCCAGACCUUCCGAUUUCCUUGCUGGUGAUCUCAACUUCUCUGACACCUCCGCUUAACCAUCUACACAUGGAUGAUGCCCAGAUCUUUCUAUAGACCACAGUUUCCAACUGCUCACAUGGAAACAUCACGAGGAUGUUUAGCAUACUCUGCAAUAUGCAACCUCCUGCUCUUCCCCAUUUGGUCCUCAUCCAUUGUCCUCAUCACAUAUGAAAAGUGGUCUUGUCACUGUAAUAUGGUAGUUGAGAAUGUGACCCUGAUAUGAUGUGAUGUGAUAUGGUAUAUGAUUCUGGAGCCAGUCUGCUGGAGCCUGAAUUUGGACCAUAACCACUUACUGUGUGACUUUGGUUGUGUGCUGUCCCAAACCUGUUUAUUAAAGAAGAAAGAGCAGCAGCCUUUAAUCUUGUCUUCCCUCCCCUAAUUUGAAAGAUCCUUGUAGCUGUAAUCAAGUUAAGAUGAAGUUGUACUGGAUUAGGAUGAGCCCUGAUCUAGCAACUGGUGUUCCUAUAUGAAGAGGGAGACACACAGAGAGAAGAUGUUCAUAUGAAGUUGGAAGCAGAGAUUGGAAUUGUGCUGCCACAAAUCAAGGAAUGGUGUUUAUCCCCAUGGCAAGUGUACAGAGAUAUGUUUAUGAGGAUAUUUGUCACUACAGAAUUUAUAAAGCAAUCAAAAUGGCCACCAGUAGAGGAUUUGACCAAAUAAACUGGCUGGACUGCUUGGGUAACAAAUUCUCUUAGAUAUGAGAGCAAAUUUAAUCACUUAGGAGGACAAGGAGGAGCUGGACCAGAUUGACAGGUGUCCCACAACAUGCAGCCUCAAACCUGGCCUGGAGCUGAGCUUGAAUGUCACACCUAUGGAGCCAAUCAGUCCAUGCCCAGGCAGUUCACAGGGCCAUGGGCACAGAGGAUAGACUUCAAAAUCAGUGUGCCAAGUCCCCCUCCCUUGGACUGCACAGUGGAGCUGGAAACAUGAGUGAUCCCAUUGGAGUCCUUUGUAGUCAUAAGCACCAACCAUACCAGGAGCUGGAUUUGAUGGGGCUGGACUUUCUUCUUGAUGCAGAAAUCACAUGGCCCUUUAAGGAAGAAACCCCUCACUGCCAUUGACUUCCACUUGGGGGCAUUCCACAGUCUGUGACCCAAAGACAGUCCUGUGGACCUUCAGAGCUCCCGUGGCUAGCCAUAUGCUCUCCACUGUAGCCAAGCCAUCCUAUACUGGGGAUUUCCUGUCCAUCUUGCAGGGGACUCUGCCUUUAGUUUCAACAACCGUAAAAUGGGAGUGGAUGAUAGCUCCUACCUCACAAGGUUGUCAUGAAGAUGACAUGAGGCAGUACAUAGAGUCAUUGGUGUGAAGGAGACAGAGCCAUGGACCUGGUCAUAGAGCAAAUACAGAAGGCAGAAGAGGGCCAAGUUCAUAGGCAUCCACCGCUGGGAAGGCCUGCAUGCACUUCUUCUUACUCCUUACCUAGAAGUAGAGAAGUGCUUGUUUCUCAUGCAAUAACCCCCUUGGUGAGGACUGUUGGGGCAUAAACUCUCACUUGAAGAUGAAUAAUAACUGUGGGUCACUUCCUCACAAUUCUCAAAGUUUUCUACAUCCCCUGAUAUAGGAGUUUAUCCUUACUCUUCAGUAUCCUCAGACAGCACAUUUGGCUACGGCAGUGUCUUAUCUUCUGACUUCCCUUCAUCCCUUGUGCUGUCACGUAUACUCAGUCUAUGGUGGAUGGCUUCUUAGACUCUGGCUUUCCUAGGCUGUUAAUAUCAACCAGUUACUCUUUUAAGCCAUCCCAGUAUCUCUCCUAGAGACAUUUGCAUUUAGAACUAUGGCUAUAGUAGAAAUAAUGGAAGUUGUUGGAUUCCUGAGGGAAGGCAGUCCUGGAAUAAAUUAAUCAUUUGCUCAUUCUAGAACAUCCCUGUCCAGUAGACCUUUCUGCAUUGAUGGAAAUGUUCUGUGUUAUAAAAUUGAGCCUAUUGAGUGUUUGAAAUGUGGCUAUUGUAACUGAGGAACUGGGUUUUUCAUUUUAAUUGAUUAAAAGUUAAAUUUAUAAAGAUAAAAGAAAAGUAGGCACUAUUACUGGAUCAAUGAGAGAGAGGGGCACUAGGCCUGAAACCCCACUUGACUCCCCCACUAUCACAUGUCCCCCAAAGGUAACUUUGUAAAUGGCUAUUUGGAAUCAAAUCAGCUUUGUUUCUUCCACCCCUCUAGCCUCAGCCCCUCAGUUUGCCUCCCUCAGAAGGCAGGUAUCUAUAGCUAUGCCCUGUAGGCCUUCCCAGUCCUUGUUCAUCUCACUCCUUCUUACCAUAGUACACUGCCCAUCCCUUUCCUUCUUCCAUGCUGCCCCCUCCGUAUUCCUGCUCAGGCCACAGCAAACCUCACUUCCUCUAAGAAGGCUUUCCUGACUCCUAUGCCUUCCAGGUAAGGCCAUUUUUAAGACCCUGAACAGAUUCUUUUGGCUUUUUUCAGGGGUGCAAGUAGCAGGGGUGGGUGUCAGGAAGACAUAGGUGUACAAUGGAUGUAUGUUUGAUCACUGCAUUUCCAACUUCCUUGACCACCACUCCCUAUGAGAAAUAUAUUUCAUGUCCCAGCCACCACACACACCUACAUAUAGAGCUAUAAAACUGAAGCAUAAGUUUUAUAAAGAUAACACUCUCACUGUGUGUGAUGCACUUGGAUAUUUUCUCUUCUAUUUAUUUUUUAAAGAAAAUUGUUGGUUGUGACCCACUAAACUGAUUUCAUAACCCAGUAAUGGGUCACAACCCACAGGGUGAAAAAUGCAGAGUGAGAUCAUUGCUCAGAACAACUCCAAACAAAGGCCGAUUGACCCUGUCUAGACAUCACCCACUGGGUUCCUUAAAGAGCCAGCACAUGACUGCCAGUGCCAUUCUGGUCUAGCUGGUGGUGCUCCAUUCUCUCUGUGGAGUGUUUCAGGGUCCCAGUUGGUCAUUACCAUAAAGUUGCCAUGGUCAGAGAUGCUGUCUCAGUGCUGUGGCAGGAGGUUGAAGUCUGUACAGUGCUCCAGAAACCUGAAAGAAAGAUGCCAGCUCAGUGUUAGGUAUCACAAGGCUGCACAUUUCAUUUCUCUUGGUGAAGCUCUUCAUGGAGGCAAAGCUUCCAGGCGUAGUGGGGCUCAUCGUUGCUGCUCACCUGGUAGGGCCAGGGAAUAACAACUAGAGUAAGAGCAAAACAUGGAGCUCUGCAUGCAGUGCCACAACCAUAGAAACAUCUUACUAGCCAGAGGAUGGAAGACAAAUAUGUGGAAGGAACAUUUCAGGUGGAAUUGAGUCUUGAAGCCUCAUCUCUCUUUGGACUUGGCGCCCUGAACUGAAAGUUACUGAAAAUAGGACCUGCAGAAAUAACUGCAUCAAAAUCCCUGCAUCUAAACCAGGUGUAUUUUAACCUUCUGAGAGCCUCAUGUCUGUUGACACUUACUUAGCACACUAUUCUGACAAGAGAGCCUACCUGAUUUCCUAGCACCUGUAGUAGCAAAGAAACAGCCUGGAAGGGUGGUGAUGGUAGGUAGUUUUAAGAGACAGACAUGUAGAUGGCAGGAAGGUGAAAGCCAUGGGGAAGGACAGAGGAACAGUAAGGAAGUAAAGUCACAUUAUUGUCUAGUACCACAGAGACUACUUGUAAUGACGACCACUUGAGUGGGAAAAGGAUAAUUUUUAAGGCAUUGGGGAACUUUGAGCUAUAUUUUAGCAACAUUUCCCUUCAAAGUGGUUAAAAUACUGUUUUGGCAAUUGAAGCUUCACUUUUUAGGAAAACUAUUUUAUUGGAACCUCAGUGUUUCUGGAUAAAUUCAGUGCUGUCAACCUGAUCCUGAUUAGGGCUAGCCAUACUCCUCAUGGAUUUGAUCUCAGGUUCACAGAGCAGACCCUCCCCACUCAGCCCUAAGUCUGACUCACAGCCUAAAAUCCUUGUGUUACUGUUGGAUUCCUUUGUUCAUCAGAGUGAAUUUGUGCACAAAUAACUUUCCCAUCUGAAAGCUUGCUGAUAGUGGCUCCCUAAUGCCCUGAAGAUAGGUGUAGAGAGGACAGUCUGAGAUGGACACUCCCUGGAGAUGGCAGGCCUGGGUGGAGUGGCCUAAAUGACCAGAGGGCAGGACAAAACCACUGGGAUUUGGUCUGGAAUGAGUUUUUAGGGAGUAGCAGGGGAUGGGCUUGGAAGACCGAGUCCGCUCUCUUCACUGCUUUGCCUGAAGAUGGACUACUUGCUGAGGCAGGGCCAGGUAUCUGUUUCUUCUGUAGCCUGUCCACUCAAGGCUCCCUGGCCACCUGGUCCCCAUUUCUGUUUCUGUGAGUCAUCCCAAAUGACUGCAGGGGUGCUCUUAUCAGUGAGGCGACCUCACAGUAAAGCCAAGUAUUACUGAGACAAAGAUUAUUUAUGCCACACCAUCUGAGAAAGCGAACGUUAAGUAGAAGCCAGUGGGCUUGGAGAUGUGUUACACCACCAGGAGGUUUCUGUCUUAACAAUAGAUGAUUAUAUAGUGUGCAUGCAUAAUACAUUACACAUUCUCUUGUUGAUAUUUGCAAAUGCU